GAACUAUCGGCCAGGUGAACGUAUUAUGCUAUACUUGGAGGAAUUUGAAUUCGGAUCAAUAGCAUUGAUCUGCAUGUUCAAUUUGAUGGUUGACUUGAUAUUUGCUUUGGUUGAGCAGUGGUGCCCGAAGACCCACACAUUUCAUUUACCCUGUUGGGAGUGCACCAUCACUCUGAAAGAUGUGGAACUAUAAUUCGGGCUCUCAAUCGACAGUAGUGCGGUCACAGGUAUGAGUAAAGUGUCUAAACCGGUGACACUUUGUUGUCACUUACUAGGAUGCUCGUCUGAUGAUGCUGGAGAUGAUUUUACGAGUUUGAGAUUUUCAUGGUUGAAUGCAAAUUUCGAAACUUUACCAAGUAGUGCCGAAACUUUACCAAAUAGUGCCACUGAGCAGGAGAUGAUGUGUGCUGCUUGAGCAUAUAUCAUGCAUAUGAUAGAAGUUAUGGCUCAACAAUAUUAGCAACAUUGUAUCGUGAGCUUUGUCGGGCAACAAAGCACGUAACACAAGACAUAGGCGGGUGCCUGAUAUUGUUGCAGUCCUAGGCAUUGUACAAGAUGUCAUUUUUGGCAUCAGUUAGUCACCAAACUCAUGUCUUCCCAUUUGUAAAUAGGUAAUAAAAUUGUAGCAUUACAUAAAGAA